UACGAAGGGUGCAAGCGUUACUCGGAAUUACUGGGCGUAAAGCGUGCGUAGGUGGUUUGUUAAGUCUGUUGUGAAAGCCCCGGGCUCAACCUGGGAAUGGCAAUGGAUACUGGCAGGCUAGAGUGCGGUAGAGGGUAGUGGAAUUCCCGGCGUAGCGGUGAAAUGCGUAGAGAUCGGGAGGAACACCAGUGGCGAAGGCGGCUACCUGGACCAGCACUGACACUGAGGCACGAAAGCGUGGGGAGCAAACAGG
rnacentral:rRNA from 1 species